rnacentral:lncRNA from 1 species
UAUUAUCAUUUUUUCUGCUUUUCUUACCCUUCUGUGGGUAGGUGAAGGACCUAUGAAUAGAAAAUUAUCUUGUGGAAAAUCCAGCACUGUUUUGUCAACACUAACAAUCUCAGUACUGUGGAACCACGUGAAAUGGGUAGAACCUUGCAUGAUAAAGCACUGAACACCUCCUUACACAACUCAGUCCAGAAGACUGCUAGACGUUCUUCGAGAUCAGCUCAAACAUUUCCCUCUCAGUGAAGC